rnacentral:rRNA from 3 species
GGCGUGCCUAAUACAUGCAAGUCGAACGAACUCUGGUAUAGAUUGGUGCUUGCAUCAUGAUUUACAUUUGAGUGAGUGGCGAACUGGUGAGUAACACGUGGGAAACCUGCCCAGAAGCGGGGGAUAACACCUGGAAACAGAUGCUAAUACCGCAUAACAACUUGGACCGCAUGGUCCGAGUCUUGAAAGAUGGCUAUCGGCUAUCACUUUUGGAUGGUCCCGCGGCGUAUUAGCUAGAUGGUGGGGUAACGGCUCACCAUGGCAAUGAUACGUAGCCGACCUGAGAGGGUAAUCGGCCACAUUGGGACUGAGACACGGCCCAAACUCCUACGGGAGGCAGCAGUAGGGAAUCUUCCACAAUGGACGAAAGUCUGAUGGAGCAACGCCGCGUGAGUGAAGAAGGGUUUGCGGCUCGUAAAACUCUGUUGUUAAAGAAGAACAUAUCUGAGAGUAACUGUUCAGGUAUUGACGGUAUGUAACCAGAAAGCCACGGCUAACUACGUGCCAGCAGCCGCGGUAAUACGUAGGUGGCAAGCGUUGUCCGGAUUUAUUGGGCGUAAAGCGAGCGCAGGCGGUUUUUUAAGUCUGAUGUGAAAGCCUUCGGCUCAACCGAAGAAGUGCAUCGGAAACUGGGAAACUUGAGUGCAGAAGAGGACAGUGGAACUCCAUGUGUAGCGGUGAAAUGCGUAGAUAUAUGGAAGAACACCAGUGGCGAAGGCGGCUGUCUGGUCUGUAACUGACGCUGAGGCUCGAAAGUAUGGGUAGCAAACAGGAUUAGAUACCCUGGUAGUCCAUACCGUAAACGAUGAAUGCUAAGUGUUGGAGGGUUUCCGCCCUUCAGUGCUGCAGCUAACGCAUUAAGCAUUCCGCCUGGGGAGUACGGCCGCAAGGCUGAAACUCAAAGGAAUUGACGGGGGCCCGCACAAGCGGUGGAGCAUGUGGUUUAAUUCGAAGCUACGCGAAGAACCUUACCAGGUCUUGACAUACUAUGCAAAUCUAAGAGAUUAGACGUUCCCUUCGGGGACAUGGAUACAGGUGGUGCAUGGUUGUCGUCAGCUCGUGUCGUGAGAUGUUGGGUUAAGUCCCGCAACGAGCGCAACCCUUAUUAUCAGUUGCCAGCAUUAAGUUGGGCACUCUGGUGAGACUGCCGGUGACAAACCGGAGGAAGGUGGGGAUGACGUCAAAUCAUCAUGCCCCUUAUGACCUGGGCGUACACACGUGCGUACAAUGGAUGGUACAAACGAGUUGCGAGACUCUGCGAGAGUAAGGCUAAUACUCUCUAUAAGCCACAUUCUUCAGUUCGGAUUUGUAGGGCUGCACACAUCUGCGCUACAUGAAGUCUGGAAUCUGCGUAGUAAUACUGCGGAUCAGCAUGCCGCGGUGAAUAACGUUUCUCCGGGCCCUUGUACACACCGCCCGUCACACCAUGAAGAGUUUGUAACACCCCAAGUACGGUGGGGUGAACCUCUUUAGGAACCAGCCGCCGUCAAGGUGGGUACAAGAAUGAUUGAGGGUGGAAGUCGUAUAUCAAGGUAGCGGGUAGGAGAUCGU